rnacentral:rRNA from 1 species
UGGGAAAUAUUGCACAAUGGGCGCAAGCCUGAUGCAGCCAUGCCGCGUGUGUGAAGAAGGCCUUCGGGUUGUAAAGCACUUUCAGCGAGGAGGAAGGGUAGUGUGUUAAUAGCACAUUGCAUUGACGUUACUCGCAGAAGAAGCACCGGCUAACUCCGUGCCAGCAGCCGCGGUAAUACGGAGGGUGCAAGCGUUAAUCGGAAUUACUGGGCGUAAAGCGCACGCAGGCGGUUUGUUAAGUCAGAUGUGAAAUCCCCGCGCUUAACGUGGGAACUGCAUUUGAAACUGGCAAGCUAGAGUCUUGUAGAGGGGGGUAGAAUUCCAGGUGUAGCGGUGAAAUGCGUAGAGAUCUGGAGGAAUACCGGUGGCGAAGGCGGCCCCCUGGACAAAGACUGACGCUCAGGUGCGAAAGCGUGGGGAGCAAACA